GCCCCUAUAACUCAAUUGGUAGAGUAGCGGACUCUUAAUCCGUUUGUUCCAGGUUCGAGUCCUGGUGGGGGCA
rnacentral:tRNA from 1 species